AAUGGUAUGACUAUUUUCAACAAGUCUGGAAUUGGGAUGUAAUGAUCGGAUUUCAUGACAUCCAGAUAUCCUUCUGGGGAUUGGCGCUUACAGUGUCGACGUCUAUUGAAUUUGCACACCCGUGCAAAUAUUCCCCGAAGAGCUUCCAUAAUAUAUGCAGUCAUUGCUUCCACAUAUUUCCAGAAAUUUUCAACAAUUUGUACACAAAUACGAAAUUUAUCCCCAACAAAGCUGUUGUGCGUUCCUUUUUCUCCGGG
rnacentral:sRNA from 1 species